UGGGGAAUUUUGGACAAUGGGCGCAAGCCUGAUCCAGCCAUGCCGCGUGCGGGAAGAAGGCCUUCGGGUUGUAAACCGCUUUGUCAGGGAAGAAAAGGUUCUGGCUAAUACCUGGGACUCAUGACGGUACCUGAAGAAUAAGCACCGGCUAACUACGUGCCAGCAGCCGCGGUAAUACGUAGGGUGCAAGCGUUAAUCGGAAUUACUGGGCGUAAAGCGUGCGCAGGCGGUUAUGCAAGACAGAGGUGAAAUCCCCGGGCUCAACCUGGGAACUGCCUUUGUGACUGCAUGGCUAGAGUACGGUAGAGGGGGAUGGAAUUCCGCGUGUAGCAGUGAAAUGCGUAGAUAUGCGGAGGAACACCGAUGGCGAAGGCAAUCCCCUGGACCUGUACUGACGCUCAUGCACGAGAGCGUGGGGAGCAAACAGGAUUAGAUACCCUGGUAGUCCACGCCCUAAACGAUGUCAACUGGUUGUUGGGGAGGGUUUC
rnacentral:rRNA from 1 species